rnacentral:rRNA from 1 species
UACGAAGGGGGCUAGCGUUGUUCGGAAUUACUGGGCGUAAAGCGCACGUAGGCGGACAUUUAAGUCAGGGGUGAAAUCCCAGAGCUCAACUCUGGAACUGCCUUUGAUACUGGGUGUCUUGAGUAUGGAAGAGGUGAGUGGAAUUCCGAGUGUAGAGGUGAAAUUCGUAGAUAUUCGGAGGAACACCAGUGGCGAAGGCGGCUCACUGGUCCGGUACUGACGCUGAGGUGCGAAAGCGUGGGGAGCAAACAGG